UGGAUCAAUGAUCUCCACUAUUGAGAGAUAUAGUGGAGAGAAUCCUUACUGGUUGCUCAUAGCCGCACAUGUGUCUAGCCUCUAUGAAAAAUUUACUCGAAGUUUCGAUCUGAUCGAUCUUCUCGGGAGUACUUGCUCGCGUGAAGACCUUAUUCUUGGCUGAUUUGGAUCUUUUAUUCAAAUCUUUAAAACCUUUUCAAAGAUUGAAGAUAGACUUCUAAAGGAUAUGAAGAGGUAAAAAAAAGAUGGAGAAGAAAAUAAUUUUUUCUAAUUUAUUUUCUCUUCCCAAACCCUUAGAAUCAAAAAUAUGAAAUUUAGGUUUUUGUGCACACCCCAA
rnacentral:lncRNA from 1 species